GACAGAGAGAGAGAGAGAGAGAGACAGAGAGAGAGAGAGAGAGACAGAGAGAGAGAGAGAGAGAGAGAGAGAGAGAGAGAGAGAGAGAGAGAGAGACAGAAAACCAACAUAAAUAUCAGCAGGCCUACUGUCAGACUCACAGACUCGCUCUGUUCCUCAAUUACUUAUUGUUUGCUAUGCUUGUCUGUCUCCGAGUCACAAAUAGCAAGGCCCUGGUCAGAAGCAGUGCACUAUGGGCCCUGGUCAGAAGCAGUGCACUAUGGGCACUGGUCAGAAGCAGUGCACUAUGGGCACUGGUCAGAAGCAGUGCACUACGAAGGGAAUCGGGUGCCAUUUGGGACUCAAGCUGUUCUUCCAUGACUGACUGCUUAUUAUGGUUUUAUGGUCUCUGUAGGUGUAGAAAGACAGACAGAGCUCAUUUCACAACAACAAUCUGGUCUCUAUGGAGACGGUGGUCUCUAACUAUCAGACUGUUGGAACAGAGGAGGUGUCUCCUGGUCUCUAACUAUCAGACUGUUGGAACAGAGGAGGUGUCUCCUGGUCUCUAACUAUCAGACUGUUGGAACAGAGGAGGUGUCUCCUGGUCUCUAUCUAUCAGACUGUUGGAACAGAGGAGGUGUCUCCUGGUCUCUAACUAUCAGACUGUUGGAACAGAGGAGGUGUCUCCUGGUCUCUAACUAUCAGACUGUUGGAACAGAGGAGGUGUCUCCUGGUCUCUAUCUAUCAGACUGUUGGAACAGAGGAGGUGUCUCCUGGUCUCUAACUAUCAGACUGUUGGAACAGAGGAGGUGUCUCCUGGUCUCUAUCUAUCAGACUGUUGGAACAGAGGAGGUGUCUCCUGGUCUCUAUCUAUCAGACUGUUGGAACAGAGGAGGUGUCUCCUGGUCUCUAACUAUCAGACUGUUGGAACGGAGGAGGUGUCUCCUGGUCUCUAUCUAUCAGACUGUUGGAACAGAGGAGGUGUCUCCUGGUCUCUAACUAUCAGACUGUUGGAACGGAGGAGGUGUCUCCUGGUCUCUAACUAUCAGACUGUUGGAACAGAGGAGGUGUCUCCUGGUCUCUAUCUAUCAGACUGUUGGAACAGAGGAGGUGUCUCCUGGUCUCUAACUAUCAGACUGUUGGAACGGAGGAGGUGUCUCCUGGUCUCUAUCUAUCAGACUGUUGGAACGGAGGAGGUGUCUCCUGGUCUCUAUCUAUCAGACUGUUGGAACAGAGGAGGUGUCUCCUGGUCUCUAACUAUCAGACUGUUGGAACAGAGGAGGUGUCUCCUGGUCUCUAUCUAUCAGACUGUUGGAACAGAGGAGGUGUCUCCUGGUCUCUAUCUAUCAGACUGUUGGAACAGAGGAGGUGUCUCCUGGUCUCUAUCUAUCAGACUGUUGGAACAGAGGAGGUGUCUCCUGGUCUCUAUCUAUCAGACUGUUGGAACGGAGGAGGUGUUUGGAAACUCUGCACCUGGCUUGAACUCUCUAGCCCCAUCAUGACUCAGUGGAUACACAGACACAUUCUUGAAAGGGAACAUCUAUGCAUGAAUCCUAAAGGGGCUUGAGAGCGUGCUCGUGUGUGUGUGUGUGUGUGUGUGUGUGUGUGUGUGUGUGUGUGUGUGUGUGUGUGUGUGUGUGUGUGUGUGUGUGUGUGUGUGUGUGUGUGUGUGUGUGUGUGUCUCUCCCCCUGUGUGUUUACAUGCCUACAGUAUCCCUGUCACUUUAAUGAAGCCACUAGAACACUGUUCCCCCCCCUGGCUGGGGCAGGGUGUCUCUAGUCCAACACAGUGUACACCCCAGCAUCUAGUCCAACACAGUGUACACCACAGCAUCUAGUCCAACACAGUGUACACCACAGCAUCUAGUCCAACACAGUGUACACCACAGCAUCUAGUCCAACACAGUGUACACCCCAGCAUCUAGUCUAAACACAGUGUACACCCCAGCAUCUAGUCUAAACACAGUGUACACCACAGCAUCUAGUCCAACACAGUGUACACCCCAGCAUCUAGUCCAACACAGUGUACACCACAGCAUCUAGUCCAACACAGUGUACACCCCAGCAUCUAGUCCAACACAGUGUACACCACAGCAUCUAGUCCAACACAGUGUACACCACAGCAUCUAGUCCAACACAGUGUACACCCCAGCAUCUAGUCCAACACAGUGUACACCACAGCAUCUAGUCCAACACAGUGUACACCACAGCAUCUAGUCUAACACAGUGUACACCACAGCAUCUAGUCCAACACAGUGUACACCACAGCAUCUAGUCUAACACAGUGUACACCACAGCAUCUAGUCUAAACACAGUGUACACCACAGCAUCUAGUCUAACACAGUGUACACCCCAGCAUCUAGUCUAACACAGUGUACACCACAGCAUCUAGUCCAACACAGUGUACACCACAGCAUCUAGUCUAAACACAGUGUACACCACGGCAUCUAGUCCAACACAGUGUACACCACAGCAUCUAGUCUAACACAGUGUACACCACAGCAUCUAGUCCAACACAGUGUACACCCCAGCAUCUAGUCUAACACAGUGUACACCACAGCAUCUAGUCUAAACACAGUGUACACCACAGCAUCUAGUCUAACACAGUGUACACCACAGCAUCUAGUCUAACACAGUGUACACCCCAGCAUCUAGUCUAACACAGUGUACACCACAGCAUCUAGUCCAACACAGUGUACACCCCAGCAUCUAGUCUAACACAGUGUACACCCCAGCAUCUAGUCUAACACAGUGUACACCACAGCAUCUAGUCCAACACAGUGUACACCACAGCAUCUAGUCCAACACAGUGUACACCCCAGCAUCUAGUCUAACACAGUGUACACCACAGCAUCUAGUCUAACACAGUGUACA